rnacentral:rRNA from 1 species
CCUACGGGAGGCUGCAGUGGGGAAUAUUGCACAAUGGGGGAGACCCUGAUGCAGCGACGCCGCGUGAGCGAGGAAGUAUUUCGGUAUGGUAAGCUCUAUCAGCAGGGACGAAAAAAGCCGGUACCUGCCUAAGACGCCCCGGCUAACUACGUGCCAGCAGCCGCGGUAAUACGUAGGAGGCAAGCGUUAUCCGGAUUUACUGGGUGUAAAGGGAGCGAAGGCGGGAAAGCAAGUCAGAUGUGAAAACCAUGGGCUCAACCUUUGGCCUGCAUUUGAAACUGUUUUUCUUGAGUAUUGGAGAGGCAGACGGAAGUCGUGGUGUAGCGGUGAAAUGCGUAGAUAUGACGAGGAACCCCAGUGGCGAAGGCGGUCUGCUGGAC